rnacentral:misc_RNA from 1 species
CUAACAACUCUCUAGAAAAAGAAUCUACCAAAUCGGUAGAUUUAUAUUGAUUCAUCCGAUUCACUAUCGAAUCGCAAGAUUAUGUCAAGAUUUAGGUGCAUUUGAGAUUCACCAUUCACCAUAUAGAUUCAACCCGCUAGGACGAAAAAAUCGAAUCAAAUAAAAAAUUUUAUGAUUCUAACAACAAUGAUAAUUUGUUGAAGCCUUGAAGGCACACAGGUUGUCCAAUGUACAUAUUACUUUGGAAGUCCACUUAUUGGGCAAAGGUGAUGGCCCAUAGUUACCAGAUUCGCUCA